UUUGAUCCAAAGCAGGGUCAGUUGAUGAGGAUGAAGCUCGAGAGGGAGCCAUGAAAAUCGAAAGAAUUGAAAAACAAUGAUGAAAUGAGGUUGGGAAAAAGAUUCAGUUGGAUAGCAUCGGAAAGAGGAUCGGAUUGGCGAAUGAUACCAUAUUGUAAUUGAUCAAGCUUCAUCAAUGGUGAAGCAUAACCAUGCCAUGUUGCAGACUGUUAUGGAAAUGUUGCAGACUGUUAUGGAAAUAACAGAAGAAG
rnacentral:lncRNA from 1 species